UGGUCCUGGACAUGGCAGCACCCCUGUGUCAGGGCAGGGCCUUGCCACCCUCAUGCUGCCCCUGCACUGUCCUCAGGCCAUACUCAGUCUGUGGCCAGUCCCAGAACAUACUGCUGGGCUGUGGCCAGGGCCAGGUGACAGUGGGGAUGGCAGUGCUCAGGCUGUGCCCUGUGUGCUGCCUUGACUGUGGAUGCACAGUGAUGGUGUGAGCCCAGACCUGCUGCUGGCCUGUGCUGGUGACAUGGGACUCCCUGGCUGUGUGUGCCCCCUUGCCAACGCUCAGUGCAGUUUCACAGUUUAAUGAAGACUGACAUGCUGGGAGAAAACAAAGGCGAUCCAGCUGCUGCCUCUUGCUGGCACAUGCAUCAGCAAUUACCGGUGACCCUGUGGGCCGGCAGAGACACCCCAGAGCACCCCGCAGCCAUCAGCCCCAGGCAGCCCAGUCCUGUGUCUUGGAGAGCUCCUGCCCAAAAGGUCUGGCUGGGGGCGUGCAGGGAAUGGGGUGCCCACAACAUGGGGCAUGCAGCACAGGGGUAUCAGUGCCCAGAUUCUGUAUCCAGGCUUUCACUCCAUCUGUUAAGAAGUGUCUGGCCACCAACCAUGACCCAGCGCGGCCCCUCACCUCUCCCCAUGCUGCCAGGGUCCUGCCAUCCCUGUGGGCUCAACCAGCUUCAGCCUCACAAAGUCACCAACUAGCCCAUGCAGUGCCCUCAGCCUCAAGCCAGGGCAGCAGUGUCAGGCCAGGAGUCCUCUCCAAUCUUAAGGUUUUUUCUGUUUUAGGACCAGGAGUUUGCUUCAUGCCAUUCAGUACGUUAAAAUAUGCAAAAUGAGGUGCUGCUACAAACCUCAUUAACAUCCGCCUCCAACAUCAUUAAGAUGUUUCCAAGAAAAUUAAUUGAGAGACUCAUUAAAAAUAAAUUAAGAAAAAUGUG